AAAUCAUGGUGAGGAUAUUUUCUAAGCAUCUUCUUAAAUCUCUUCCAACUUUUAUAAACAGAUUCCCCUGCAAAUUGGGCAAAAGAAGACAUAUCAUUUUUAAGUUU